ensembl:snRNA U6 U6 spliceosomal RNA
AUGCUGUCUCUGGCAGCACAUAUACUAAAAUUGGAACGAUACAGAGAAGAUUAGCACAGCCCCUGUGCAAAGAUGACAUGCAAAUUCGUGAAGUGUUCCAUAUUUGU